rnacentral:rRNA from 1 species
GUCUACGACAUAGCGUUAAUCCAAUGGAUAUCAUAUAACUCUCCAAUUAAGCGUGCCUAGGAUAGAUUAGUACUGGAAAGGGUGACUCCUUGAGAAGUCCUAAUGUUUUACAUU